GCGCGUGUAGCCCAACGGGUAGAGGCGGCGGAUUUAAGACCCGCACAGUGAUGAGUUCAAAUCUCUCCACGCGCA
rnacentral:tRNA from 1 species